rnacentral:misc_RNA from 1 species
GAUGAAGAACGUAGCGAAAUGCGAUAAGUAAUGUGAAUUGCAGAUUUCAGUGAAUCAUCGAAUCUUUGAACGCACCUUGCGCCUUGUGGUAUUCCACAAGGCAUGCCCGUUUGAGUAUCAUUAAAUCAUCAACUCUAAAACCUUUGUGGUUUUUUUAGAGCUUGGUCUUGAGGGUUUUGCAGGCUUUUUUUUUUUUCGAGUCUGCUCCCUUUAAAUGCAUUAGCGAGACUUCCCUAUGCUGAACCGUCUCUUUGACGUGAUAAUUAUCUGCGUCGAAUUUUGGUUCUCGUUGGGCUUGCUUCUAAUCGUCUGUUAAAGACAAAACGGAUUUGGGUGCAUAUAUGCGCCUUUUUCCAAAACCUUUUUUGAUCUCAAAUCGGGUAGGACUACCCGCUGAACUUAAGCAUAUCAAUAAACGGAGGA